rnacentral:misc_RNA from 1 species
AUCACCAAUUGGUGGCGUUCUUGUUAUUUGUGCAAACACCAUCCACUAUCACAGUGAGUCAGCCACUUGUGCAUUAGCCCUGAACAACUAUGCUGUUUCUGUUGAUAGCAGUCAAGAGCUUCCAAGAGCAAGUUUCAGCGUGGAACUUGAUGCCGCCAAGGCAGCUUGGCUAUUAAAUGAUGUUGCCUUGCUGUCAACCAAAAAUGGGGAACUUUUG